UGGGGAAUAUUGCACAAUGGGCGCAAGCUUGAUGCAGCCAUGCCGCGUGUGUGAAGAAGGCCUUCGGGUUGUAAAGCACUUUCAGCGAGGAGGAAGGUGGUGAGCUUAAUACGCUCAUCAAUUGACGUUACUCGCAGAAGAAGCACCGGCUAACUCCGUGCCAGCAGCCGCGGUAAUACGGAGGGUGCAAGCGUUAAUCGGAAUUACUGGGCGUAAAGCGCACGCAGGCGGUUUGUUAAGUCAGAUGUGAAAUCCCCGGGCUCAACCUGGGAACUGCAUUUGAAACUGGCAAGCUAGAGUCUCGUAGAGGGGGGUAGAAUUCCAGGUGUAGCGGUGAAAUGCGUAGAGAUCUGGAGGAAUACCGGUGGCGAAGGCGGCCCCCUGGACGAAGACUGACGCUCAGGUGCGAAAGCGUGGGGCAGCAAACAGGAUUAGAUACCCUGGUAGUCCACGCUGUAAACGAUGUCGAUUUUGGAGGUUGUGCCCUUGAGGCGUGGCUUCCGGAGCUAACGCGUUAAAUCGACCGCCUGGGGAGUACGGCCGCAAGGUUAAAACUCAAAUGAAUUGACGGGGUCAUAGCUGUUUCCU
rnacentral:rRNA from 1 species